rnacentral:misc_RNA from 1 species
AAGUCGUAACAAGGUUUCCGUAGGUGAACCUGCGGAAGGAUCAUUAAAAAUGAAGCCGGGAAACCGGUCCUUCUCACCCUUGAUUAUCUCAAAUUGUUGCUUUGGUGGGCCGCGCAAGCACCGGCUUCGGCUGGAUUGUGCCCGCCAGAGGACCACAACUCUGUAUUAUAUGUCGUCUGAGUACUAUAAAAUAGUUAAAACUUUCAACAACGGAUCUCUUGGUUCUGGC